AUUGAACGCUGGCGGCAGGCCUAACACAUGCAAGUCGAACGAGUGGCGGACGGGUUAGUAAUGACUGGGCAACGGCCUGAUGGAGGGGGAUAACUACUGGAAACGGUAGCUAAUAACGCAUACCCACGGCUGUGCCCGGAUGGGAUUAGCUAGUAGGUGGGGUAACGGCUCACCAAGGCGACGAUCCCUAGCUGGUCUGAGAGGAUGACCAGCCACACUGGAACUGAGACACGGUCCAGACUCCUACGGGAGGCAGCAGUGGGGAAGAUUGGACAAUGGGCGCAAGCCUGAUGCAGCCAUGCCGCGUGUAUGAAGAAGGCCUUCGGGUUGUAAAGUACUUUCAGCGGGGAGGCGUUACCCGCAGAAGAAGCACCGGCUAACUCCGUGCCAGCAGCCGCGGUAAUAC
rnacentral:rRNA from 1 species